rnacentral:rRNA from 1 species
UAAGCAUGAAGCCCCCCUCGAGAUGAGAUUUCCCAACUUCGGUUAUAAGAUCCCUCAAAGAUGAUGAGGUGAAUAGGUUCGAGGUGGAAGCGUAGCGAUACGUGGAGCUGACGAAUACUAAUCGAUCGAAGACUUAAUCAA